UGGGAAUUUGGACAAUGGGCGAAAGCCUGAUCCAGCAAUGCCGCGUGUGUGAAGAAGGCCUUCGGGUUGUAAAGCACUUUUGUCCGGAAAGAAAUCCUUGGCUCUAAUACGGUCGGGGGAUGACGGUACCGGAAGAAUAAGCACCGGCUAACUACGUGCCAGCAGCCGCGGUAAUACGUAGGGUGCAAGCGUUAAUCGGAAUUACUGGGCGUAAAGCGUGCGCAGGCGGUUUGCUAAGACCGAUGUGAAAUCCCCGGGCUCAACCUGGGAACUGCAUUGGUGACUGGCAGGCUAGAGUAUGGCAGAGGGGGGUAGAAUUCCACGUGUAGCAGUGAAAUGCGUAGAGAUGUGGAGGAAUACCGAUGGCGAAGGCAGCCCCCUGGGCCAAUACUGACGCUCAUGCACGAAAGCGUGGGGAGCAAACAGGAUUAGAUACCCUGGUAGUCCACGCCCUAAACGAUGUCAACUAGUUGUUGGGGAUUCAUUCCUUAGUAACGUAGCUAACGCGUGAAGUUGACCGCCUGGGGAGUACGGUCGCAAGAUUAAAACUUAAAUGAAUUGAC
rnacentral:rRNA from 1 species